rnacentral:lncRNA from 1 species
CUCACGCCAGUGCCAGCUGAUGAUUUGCUGAUUUGCUUGCAGUUGUGGUCGGCGGUAUCGUCCGGAUGCGGGUAAACGAUGUGCAGAAGAUCCUUCGGGAAGAAGAGGAAGCCGCCGCUACCGCCACGGCCACGUCGCCCCCCAGCGAGCGAGUCCUGAAAGACGAAGAGUAGAACAGGUAAAAAAGGUUGCCCACUUCCUCUCGGCGGACCGAACUGUGUCAUGCGCCUCCGUUGUAAUGUUCAGAUUUUGCAGUCUGCAAUACAAUAGAGAAAUGCUCAAUUAGUUGAUACAAACAGGCCCCAGUUGGGAACUGAAGAUAAUCUACGAUCGCGCUACCUAGCGAUUUCACGCGUUAGAGAGUGUUUAAUUAGCUGAGGAUAUAGUGCCAUCUGGUACUGAUAUGCAAUAUCUGAGGGAAGCUCUAUGUUUAGGUCUACAUGUUUUGGUUAGUUUUGUCAGACACUGGAUAGUUGUGUUUCAACAGUUCACUAUUGUCUGAACACAACAUGAACAUGUGAUCUUACUGAAAAUUUGGGUAUGCUGCUAUUAUUGUAUAAACAUGUUUAAUUUCUUGGUCAUACUUAUGAACUCUCUCUCUCUCUCUCUCUCUCCACACAUUAGGUCAAUACAGUGACAGGGCUGUAC